rnacentral:rRNA from 1 species
GAUGAACGCUGGCGGCGUGCCUAAUACGUGCAAGUCGAGCGAACAGACGAGGAGCUUGCUCCUCUGACGUUAGCGGCCGACGGGUGAGUAACACGUGGAUAACCUACUUAUAAGACUGGGAUAACUUCGGGAAACCGGAGCUAAUACCGGAUAAUAUAUUGAACCGCAUGGUUCAAUAGUGAAAGACGGUUUUGCUGUCACUUAUAGAUGGAUCCGCGCCGCAUUAGCUAGUUGGUAAGGUAACGGCUUACCAAGGCAACGAUGCGUAGCCGACCUGAGAGGGUGAUCGGCCACACUGGAACUGAGACACGGUCCAGACGCCUACGGGAGGCAGCAGUAGGGAAUCUUCCGCAAUGGGCGAAAGCUUGACGGAGCAACGCCGCGUGAGUGAUGAAGGUCUUCGGAGCGUAAAACUCUGUUAUUAGGGAAGAACAAAUGUGUAAGUAACUAUGCACGUCUUGACGGUACCUAAUCAGAAAGCCACGGCUAACUACGUG